GAUCUCCUCUAUUCUUUUACCGCCGCCGCCGCCGCCGCCGCCGCCGCCGCCGCUGCCGGGGAUACCAGAGAGAAGGAAGUCGGUCCUUUCUCGUCGGCGCGAUGGCGUGCACACUGGAUUUCAGGUUCCUCGAUGAGGGGAUCGGGGGGCAGAGGAACAAGCGCAAGAGGGCCGCCGCAGAUGCGGCGGAGGCCAUGGAGGUGGACGCCGCCGGCGCCGCCGGCGACGGCGGAGGGGGAGGAGAGCUUCUGCCUCCGUCUAAGAGGGCGGCCGUCCCAUCCGUCGAGAAUCCCGACAAGCCAGCGGCCCUGGGGCGGCCGUCCUACGACGGCGUGAUCGCCGGCAAGGUCUCCGGGCGGAAGUGGAAGCAAGUGCGGCAGCAGCGGUCGUCGGCGAUGCGGGUGACGCGGCGGAGCAAGCCUCUGGAGCAGCGGUCCAAGGAGAAGGAGCUGAAGCGGGCGUUCCAGGAGCGGGUGAAGGAGCUCAAGGAGGAGAUCCGGCAGAGCAAGGUGGAGAAGAGGAGGAAGCGAGAGGAGAGGGAGAAGAAGAAGAAGGAGAACGUGCUCCGCACGGGCACCAAGCUCCAGAAGAUCACCAACCCCAAGACGCUUCAGAAGAUCGCCAAGUCCAAGCAGCGGAAGCACCUCAAGGUCGUCGACGACGCCCUGCUCAACAAGAAC
rnacentral:lncRNA from 1 species